UUUAAGAAUUCAUUUCUUAUCGAGACAGAUAACGUAAGGAAAAUUUCAUUUCAAGGAGUUUUCUAUCUCGAAGAACGAACAACUAUCUCAGCCAAAGUAUUUUCGCGAGUAGGAAUUGUAAAUAACGAGAGUAGUAAGCUCGGAGAUAGCGAGUAAAACCACUAGCGAUAUCGAGCGAAUCCGAAAAAUUGUGUCAGUUAAGAAGUAAGUGAGUUUCGAGACUCGACGAAAGAUACAGUUUCCGGAUACUCCGGAAGUAAUGGUGUUUUCUCGAAUCUGCUGAUAUUCGACUUAACAACGGCCAACAACCUCGUAUUUCCCUUGGCAUCGCUUAGUUUUCGUGGGGUAUCGCAUUGGGUUGUCGUCGAUUUAUGCGAUCUCUCAAUUCUCGGAAGUUGGAAAGCGGAAGCGCGUGUACACGUAUAAAAUACGAACUAAGACGAAGAAACAGAGAGAGAGAGAGAGAGAGAGAGAGAGAGAGAGAGAGAGAGAGAGAGAGAAAGAGAGAGAGAAAGAGAAAGAUGGAAGAGUAUUAACAAACGUGAACGACCUACUUACGGAACUUCGUGCGACCAUAAAUCAGUUUACUUUUGGAUUACUUAUCGAUACGGGACAACAAAAAGGACAUACAUGCGUCGGUCGACGAGGGAAAAACAAUAAGAAAGAAAGAAAGAAAGAAGGAGAAAAGAAAAAGAAAAUUUAUCAAAUACGUAAAAUAGAAUAGAAUACUAUUUACGAAAAUAAAAACGAUCAAAUGAAAGGAUCUUGUUUGUUCGUGAAUUCGUGGAUCAUAUAUGAAUGGAAUGGGAUUUAUUAAAGUACGCCGCUUAUUCGAGAACCAUCUUGUCGGUGAUGAUCGUGUGUUCGGUCAAAGGCAUCGCACGAAAUGAAGCUCUCUGUAUGCCACGUCGUCAUUAUUGCAAACCGCAGGAGAUUGGAGGAUGCGAUUUUCGAGUCACGUUUAGGAAGAAGACGGUCAGCGGCCUUUCUCGGUUCAGGACUUCUCAAGAGUAAAAAUGGCCAGAUGCAUCUCAACGUAAUCAAAUAACUUCCAGAUAUUUGAAAAGACUUGACAACUAAGGAAGAUGGUGAAAAUAAAGAAGAAGACAGAGAAGUUACGCAAAAGGAAGAAAACAUAGAGAACCAUAACACGGAGAUUUUGCCACAAAGCUGUAUACCAGAUGAAUAGAAGGAUAUACAUCGUAGAAGAUCGAAAAAUUGCGCAAACAAAAAUUAAAUUUACGAAGAUGUAAUGAUAUCAAUUAUAGAUAAACAUACUGUACAAUAUUAAUAAUGAUCUGUUAUUUUUUAUAAAGUUGUUAAUAUUAUAAGUAAGCGAA